rfam:TPA: Bos taurus chromosome 16, whole genome shotgun sequence.
CUGUCUCUUGCUUCAACAGUGCUUGGAGAAAACAG